AUGCCAUUCUUGGUGGCACUUGUUGUGUGGAAUGUGAGAGGUCUAAAUGCCCCAGCUAGACGAAGUGCCGUCUUCCAGCUCUUAUCUUUGGUGAGUGAGAGCAUUGUUUGUCUCCAAGAGACCAAGGUGGAGGUUGUAACAGAUCAACUCGUGCGUGAGUGCUUUGGCAAUAGACUUGACAUGUUUCUUUAUCUCCCAGCCAUGGGAAUACGUGGGGGCAUACUAUUUGUCUGGGAUUCAUACUGUGGUAUUCUUGUCAAAUGUGCAUAG
rnacentral:rRNA from 1 species